rnacentral:lncRNA from 1 species
UACUCCAGCCUGUGGUGCAGCAACAUACUCAGAACAGUGAACCGAUGGCGAUGAACUAUAUAAGAAAAUGGUGAUGCUCCCAGGGGUACAAAGUGAAUGUUGAUUCAUGGUCACAUCAUCGUAGUCUUUUUUUGUCGUGUGGAUAUAAUGCAGUUGCGUGACAAAUUGAGUUUAGGAGGAGCGAGACAAAUAUAAUGGAUUCCUGAUGUACUCUAUCUUUUGAUUUUCAUCGCCGGCAGCACCAAGCCAUAAAUUAAGUACUGCUAUAUGCAAGACAUGAA